AGCCAGCAAAGAUUUCCUAGAAGCUAAGCGAGUUACUAAACAAGCUGACAAAUUCUUUGCUGACCUCGAGGCUAAAGUGACUCAUGUAUCUACGCUAAGGGAUGAUUACAAUGCCUCAAAGAAAGAAAUAGCUCUACUUGAGGUUGAAGAUAUGUCUACUUCCUCAGCUAUACAAGAAAUUGAUGAUAAGAUUGCCAUAUUGCAAUCACGCCGAGCUGCAUUAGCUAAGGUUGCCAACAGAACCAACAAGAAGAUAGCUGAAGCGAAAUCA
rnacentral:misc_RNA from 1 species